AUAAACUCCGCAACUGUCAUUUUUUUUUUACCAAAACUUUGUCGUUUUAGUUUCAUCCAAUUUAUUCCAAGUGCUGCCGAUGGUUGUUCUUUUUCCCCUUAACAAAAUUUCCCCAAUUCCUUCUCUUCUCCUUUAAUCCCUAAAUUUUUAUCCCCAAGUUCCCAACCCAUUUGCCACCGAAGACACCGACCGGACCACCUGGUGCAUCGCCCUCGACUAACCCCUCUGUUGCGUCGCCGUCGUCGUCGGUCUCUACUGCCACAGCCAAUCGCAAUGAUGCGUGCUCAAGAGGCCGAUCCUAUCAAUCUGGAAGUACUUCUUGCUCUUGGUGUGAGUCAUACAAAUGAAUUGGAACAGACUGCUGCUUUAAAGUAUCUGUAUGGAUGGUUACGUCAUCACCCAAAGUAUGGUACUCUUGCGCCACUAGAGCUUGCUAAUUCUUUGUAUUAUGCAUAUCACUAUUGAAUUUACUGGAUCUUUGGGCACUAGAUUUGAAGCCAAACUAUGUGCAUGCUUGGGCAAACAUGGGUAUCAGUUACGCCAACCAGGUUUGAGUUUUUGUUGGAUGCAUGGUCCAGGAUUAGUUGAAUUCAUGCAUAGUGACGACUUGUUUGAGCUAAUUGCUGAUAUUAAAGUGUGCAUUCUAUCAUUAUUUUGUUCUAUUUGUAUUUUGUUAGAUUUCUGGUGUAGUAUGAUAAGUGCGGUAUUUUGUUUGAUUGUUAUUGAUAAACUUUCUAUUUGGUGGGAUAUAUAUUUAUAUCAUAGAUAUUAUUCUUCUUCUCAA